rnacentral:rRNA from 1 species
GACGAACGCUGGCGGCGUGCUUAACACAUGCAAGUCGAACGGAAAGGCCCUGCUUUUGUGGGGUGCUCGAGUGGCGAACGGGUGAGUAACACGUGAGUAACCUGCCCUUGACUUUGGGAUAACUUCAGGAAACUGGGGCUAAUACCGGAUAGGAGCUCCUGCUGCAUGGUGGGGGUUGGAAAGUUUCGGCGGUUGGGGAUGGACUCGCGGCUUAUCAGCUUGUUGGUGGGGUAGUGGCUUACCAAGGCUUUGACGGGUAGCCGGCCUGAGAGGGUGACCGGCCACAUUGGGACUGAGAUACGGCCCAGACUCGUACGGGACGCAACAGUGGGGAAUAUUGCACAAUGGGCGGAAGCCUGAUGCAACAACGCCGCGUGCGGGAUGACGUCCUUCGGGUUGUAAACCACUUUCGCCUGUGACGAAGCGUUAGUGACGGUAAUGGGUAAAGAAGCACCGGCUAACUACGUG